CGCAAAUUGAAAGUAGAGAUUUGCAUGGUCAAUGUUUGAUGAAAUUAUUGUUCGUGUACAAGGAGAAAACAAUUCAAGUACAGAUUGCCUUGAAAAAGAAAAAAAAAGAUGGUGGUCAUCAAAGACAGGCCUCUCAGAACUAAUGUCAUGACAGUAAAGAUGCACAAAGGCUUCCAGUAGAAUUCUGGACAUAGGCUUUGGUUGGUACCAGAGACUGAGAUGAAUAUUUCCAAGAGUGGCUGAGUGUUUGAAUAAGGAUCAAAGCAGUAAGUGUGAAAUUCAAAUAUAAAGCAAUUGAUGGAAGUGCUUCGGUACUGGCAAUCAAGUAUCUCCUCUCAUAUUUUGGGGAAGUGACUUUGCAUGUUAAGUCACUUAAUGUGAGUUGAACGUUAAAAAAAUAUAUAAGAGCGGAAAUGAAACUGUUAGAUGGGGUAAGAGACAAAAUAACUAACAUUCCACGUCGUAUUUGACCGAGAAUCGCAGUAAAGAAGUAUUUUGUACCAGAA